rnacentral:rRNA from 1 species
GAUGAACGCUGGCGGCGUGCCUAAUACAUGCAAGUCGAGCGAACGGACGAGAAGCUUGCUUCUCUGAUGUUAGCGGCGGACGGGUGAGUAACACGUGGAUAACCUACCUAUAAGACUGGGAUAACUUCGGGAAACCGGAGCUAAUACCGGAUAAUAUUUUGAACCGCAUGGUUCAAAAGUGAAAGACGGUCUUGCUGUCACUUAUAGAUGGAUCCGCGCUGCAUUAGCUAGUUGGUAAGGUAACGGCUUACCAAGGCAACGAUGCAUAGCCGACCUGAGAGGGUGAUCGGCCACACUGGAACUGAGACACGGUCCAGACUCCUACGGGAGGCAGCAGUAGGGAAUCUUCCGCAAUGGGCGAAAGCCUGACGGAGCAACGCCGCGUGAGUGAUGAAGGUCUUCGGAUCGUAAAACUCUGUUAUUAGGGAAGAACAUAUGUGUAAGUAACUGUGCACAUCUUGACGGUACCUAAUCAGAAAGCCACGGCUAACUACGUGCCAGCAGCCGCGGUAAUACGUAGGUGGCAAGCGUUAUCCGGAAUUAUUGGGCGUAAAGCGCGCGUAGGCGGUUUUUUAAGUCUGAUGUGAAAGCCCACGGCUCAACCGUGGAGGGUCAUUGGAAACUGGAAAACUUGAGUGCAGAAGAGGAAAGUGGAAUUCCAUGUGUAGCGGUGAAAUGCGCAGAGAUAUGGAGGAACACCAGUGGCGAAGGCGACUUUCUGGUCUGUAACUGACGCUGAUGUGCGAAAGCGUGGGGAUCAAACAGGAUUAGAUACCCUGGUAGUCCACGCCGUAAACGAUGAGUGCUAAGUGUUAGGGGGUUUCCGCCCCUUAGUGCUGCAGCUAACGCAUUAAGCACUCCGCCUGGGGAGUACGACCGCAAGGUUGAAACUCAAAGGAAUUGACGGGGACCCGCACAAGCGGUGGAGCAUGUGGUUUAAUUCGAAGCAACGCGAAGAACCUUACCAAAUCUUGACAUCCUUUGACAACUCUAGAGAUAAAGCCUUCCCCUUCGGGGGACAAAGUGACAGGUGGUGCAUGGUUGUCGUCAGCUCGUGUCGUGAGAUGUUGGGUUAAGUCCCGCAACGAGCGCAACCCUUAAGCUUAGUUGCCAUCAUUAAGUUGGGCACUCUAAGUUGACUGCCGGUGACAAACCGGAGGAAGGUGGGGAUGACGUCAAAUCAUCAUGCCCCUUAUGAUUUGGGCUACACACGUGCUACAAUGGACAAUACAAAGGGCAGCGAAACCGCGAGGUCAAGCAAAUCCCAUAAAGUUGUUCUCAGUUCGGAUUGUAGUCUGCAACUCGACUACAUGAAGCUGGAAUCGCUAGUAAUCGUAGAUCAGCAUGCUACGGUGAAUACGUUCCCGGGUCU